GACGAACGCUGGCGGCGUGCUUAACACAUGCAAGUCGAACGGAAAGGCCCUGCUUUUGUGGGGUGCUCGAGUGGCGAACGGGUGAGUAACACGUGUGUAACCUGCCCUUGACUUUGGGAUAACUUCAGGAAACUGGGGCUAAUACCGGAUAGGAGCUCCUGCUGCAUGGUGGGGUUUGGAAAGUUUCGGCGGUUGGGGAUGGACUCGCAGCUUAUCAGCUUGUUGGUGGGGUAGUGGCUUACCAAGGCUUUGACGGGUAGCCGGCCUGAGAGGGUGACCGGCCACAUUGGGACUGAGAUACGGCCCAGACUCCUACGGGAGGCAGCAGUGGGGAAUAUUGCACAAUGGGCGGAAGCCUGAUGCAGCAACGCCGCGUGCGGGAUGACGGCCUUCGGGUUGUAAACCGCUUUCGCCUGUGACGAAGCGUGAGUGACGGUAAUGGGUAAAGAAGCACCGGCUAACUACGUG
rnacentral:rRNA from 1 species